rnacentral:rRNA from 1 species
UCGACGGUUGUCCCGGUUUAAGCGUGUAGGCUGGUUUUCCAGGCAAAUCCGGAAAAUCAAGGCUGAGGCGUGAUGACGAGGCACUACGGUGCUGAAGCAACAAAUGCCCUGCUUCCAGGAAAAGCCUCUAAGCAUCAGGUAACAUCAAAUCGUACCCCAAACCGACACAGGUGGUCAGGUAGAGAAUACCAAGGCGCUUGAGAGAACUCGGGUGAAGGAACUAGGCAAAAUGGUGCCGUAACUUCGGGAGAAGGCACGCUGAUAUGUAGGUGAAGCGACUUGCUCGUGGAGCUGAAAUCAGUCGAAGAUACCAGCUGGCUGCAACUGUUUAUUAAAAACACAGCACUGUGCAAACACGAAAGUGGACGUAUACGGUGUGACGCCUGCCCGGUGCCGGAAGGUUAAUUGAUGGGGUUAGCCGCAAGGCGAAGCUCUUGAUCGAAGCCCCGGUAAACGGCGGCCGUAACUAUAACGGUCCUAAGGUAGCGAAAUUCCUUGUCGGGUAAGUUCCGACCUGCACGAAUGGCGUAAUGAUGGCCAGGCUGUCUCCACCCGAGACUCAGUGAAAUUGAACUCGCUGUGAAGAUGCAGUGUACCCGCGGCAAGACGGAAAGACCCCGUGAACCUUUACUAUAGCUUGACACUGAACAUUGAGCCUUGAUGUGUAGGAUAGGUGGGAGGCUUUGAAGUGUGGACGCCAGUCUGCAUGGAGCCGACCUUGAAAUACCACCCUUUAAUGUUUGAUGUUCUAACGUUGACCCGUAAUCCGGGUUGCGGACAGUGUCUGGUGGGUAGUUUGACUGGGGCGGUCUCCUCCUAAAGAGUAACGGAGGAGCACGAAGGUUGGCUAAUCCUGGUCGGACAUCAGGAGGUUAGUGCAAUGGCAUAAGCCAGCUUGACUGCGAGCGUGACGGCGCGAGCAGGUGCGAAAGCAGGUCAUAGUGAUCCGGUGGUUCUGAAUGGAAGGGCCAUCGCUCAACGGAUAAAAGGUACUCCGGGGAUAACAGGCUGAUACCGCCCAAGAGUUCAUAUCGACGGCGGUGUUUGGCACCUCGAUGUCGGCUCAUCACAUCCUGGGGCUGAAGUAGGUCCCAAGGGUAUGGCUGUUCGCCAUUUAAAGUGGUACGCGAGCUGGGUUUAGAACGUCGUGAGACAGUUCGGUCCCUAUCUGCCGUGGGCGCUGGAGAACUGAGGGGGGCUGCUCCUAGUACGAGAGGACCGGAGUGGACGCAUCACUGGUGUUCGGGUUGUCAUGCCAAUGGCACUGCCCGGUAGCUAAAUGCGGAAGAGAUAAGUGCUGAAAGCAUCUAAGCACGAAACUUGCCCCAAGAUGAGUUCUCCCUGACUCCUUGAGAGUCCUGAAGGAACGUUGAAGACGACGACGUUGAUAGGCCGGGUGUGUAAGCGCAGCGAUG